UACAUAGGGUGCGAGCGUUACUCGGAAUUACUGGGCGUAAAGCGCGCGUAGGCGGCUUUGCAAGUCGGGUGUGAAAUCCCCAGGCUUAACCUGGGAACUGCAUUCGAGACUGCAUUGCUAGAGUAUGGGAGAGGGAAGUGGAAUUUCCGGUGUAGCGGUGAAAUGCGUAGAUAUCGGAAGGAACAUCAGUGGCGAAAGCGACUUCCUGGACCAAUACUGACGCUCAUGUGCGAAAGCGUGGGGAGCAAACAGG
rnacentral:rRNA from 1 species